GCGGACGUGGCGGAACUGGUAGACGCUGCAGACUUAAAAUCUGUUUCCCGUAAGGGAGUGCGGGUUCGAUUCCCGCCGUCCGCACCA
rnacentral:tRNA from 1 species